GCUGAGGCCKCCCAGGGGAAGGAAACCUGCAGUCCGGGAGAAUGCGGGCCCAUGUCUGCCACCCUCACACACAACCCUACAGGGUCCCCACUCCAGAUCAGCAGAUGACGAGGGCAAGAAGCUGCUGAUGAGCUCCUCCACGCCCUGGAAGYUACAGCAGCCCAUCAAGCAGGAGCGACUUCCACUCCGGGGCCRCACAGGACUCGAAUUACCAAACGCAUGUGCUGCCAGAUGCCAGGAUUCAGAAAUAAAAUCUGACAUCUGGGGCUUUUUAGCCAAUCUCUUUAAAAAACAGUUGUUGAAAACUCGCAGCCUUCAGUUUUAUGUAGGUUUUUUUAAUUACUUAAAGCUCUUCUUUCUAAUUUUUUACAGUGCUCCAGUAGGAGUUUGGAAGCCAGAUAUAAAAACUUACAUCACAGCUGAGAAAACACAGCUCUGAGUCUUUGGUUUAUGGGGUAACCAAAGUCCUCCCAUGUGUUUAGAUGCCAGGCUGGAGAACCCCACUUCAUCACCAAGAGGGGGACAGAAGCCUGGAGGGGGAGGGGCUUGAGAACAGCAAGCGGAGGAGUUCUAUGGGGCCAUCUCAGCCACCAGGACAAGCCCACCCCACCCGCCUUCAAAUCCAACACGUGGUCUUCAUCUUAAUGUUUAAGGUCUGAAAGCAAUUUCCCAUUUUCCAGAGUGGCUGCUGGCCACUGACAGGCCACUGAUCCAAAAGAUAACCAAGUGGGGUGAAGGCUGCUGCCACAGGGACCCACAGGGGCUGCAGCCACCUGAGGAGGAGGAAAGGUUAGACAGCAGAUGGCAGGUGAAGGACAUUCAGACCUUGGAAGACAAUAUUCAGACCUGGGGCACAAGGACCAGGGYGAAGAGCUGGACAGGACAGACCGGGCCUGGGGGAACCAGGGCCCAGAGGCCCCGCCCCCUUACCUCCGAUGACUCAUCUGCGCCCUGGUAGCCCACCUGCGCUGGACCUGCCCUCCGGAUUUCCACUCUGUCUUUCUACUGUGUGCUUGUCGUGGUCAACAGCACACCGGUCCAGCCUCUCCCUCUAAUCACGCCCGGCUGCACCGUCCUGGCUCUCCCGGCCCCUCUCACUGCCUCACUCAUCUCAUGGGCCUAGCCCAUGUGUCCUUGGGAGCUCAGGGYGUGUCCACCCUGGGAAGGCCGAGGCUCAGGCUUCCGCCACACCCAGGAGGAGUGAAACUGCGGACCCUGUCUCCAGCGCGCCUUCCUAUCCUACUCCCACCCUGAGGCUGUCUGCCUAGACCCCACUGUCACAUGGCCCCUGGGACCAGGUAUCACCGCGUCACCCUCCGAGGAGCAAAUGCCAGUGUGACAGAUACGUGCUACAGACUUCUGAGGAUUUCACGAAGGUGCCCCUGAGGGACAUGGGCUGCCCGGACAGGAGGCUCCCGCCCGCCUCGGGGUUUGAGAUGCAGAGCUUCACCUGGUAAACAAGCUUAUAACGGAGCAGAGCCACCUCUGGCGCGACAGGUCCCAGCUAAUCUGGGCCAUCGCUGGGGCAGCGGGUAAUGAACGCCAGCCCUGUGGAGUCGAUAACAGAGGAGGUGGCCGGGGUCCCAGGAGCCACAGUAAUUACAGACUCUCCCGACCCUGCCUUGGACUCUUAGAGGGAAGGGGGGAAAUCACUGAAAACCCCCCUGAAAACCUCAUAGAAGCAGAAAUUAAAAAUGAACUUUACAGCCCUUAGAAAGGCUGUCAUUUUAUUCCCCUUAUUAAUAUUCUGAGGUUGGGAGCCUUUCCGUAAAAACAUAAUUAAUUGAGGCCGCGCCGACAGUAAACAAGCAAUUUCAAAUUAAACCGAAAUG